rnacentral:rRNA from 1 species
CUGUUACCUACCAGUUAUGCCUCGGCGUAAGCUCGGUUGGAGGCACCUGCAGCUACCCUGUAGUUGCGGACUGCCAACUCCAGCCGCGGCCCGCCGGCGGUACACUAAACUCUGUUUUAUUUUAUAUUCUGAGCGUCUUAUUUUAAUAAGUUAAAACUUUCAACAACGGAUCUCUUGGUUCUGGCAUCGAUGAAGAACGCAGCGAAAUGCGAUAAGUAAUGUGAAUUGCAGAAUUCAGUGAAUCAUCGAAUCUUUGAACGCACAUUGCGCCCAUCAGUAUUCUGGUGGGCAUGCCUGUUCGAGCGUCAUUUCAACCCUUAAGCCUAGCUUAGUGUUGGGAAUCUGCUGUACUGCAGUUCCUUAAAGACAGUGGCGGAGCGGCGGUAGUCCUCUGAGCGUAGUAAUUUAUUUCUCGCUUUUGUCAGGCUCUGUCCUCCCGCCAUAAAACCCCCAAUUUUUUAGUGGUUGACCUCGGAUCAGGUAGGAAUACCCGCUGAACUUAAGCAUAUCAAUAAGCGGAGGA